rnacentral:rRNA from 1 species
UACAGAGACCUCAAGCGUUAUCCGGAAUCAUUGGGCGUAAAGCGUACCGAUAGGUGGUUAUACAAGUCAGAAGUGAAAUUCCAAAGCUUAACUUUGGGUCUGUCUUUUGAAACUGUAUAACUAGAAGGGCAAAGAGGAAGCUGGAACAAACGGUGUAGUAGUGAAAUGCGUUGAUAUCGUUUGGAACACCAAUAGCGUAGGCAGGCUUCUGGGUGCCACUUGACACUGCUAGGACGAAAGCGUGGGGAGCGAAGUGGG